UGGGGAAUCUUUGGACAAUGGGGGCAACCCUGAUCCAGCCAUGCCGCGUGAGUGAUGAAGGCCUUAGGGUCGUAAAGCUCUUUCGCCUGUGAAGAUAAUGACGGUAGCAGGUAAAGAAACCCCGGCUAACUCCGUGCCAGCAGCCGCGGUAAUACGGAGGGGGUUAGCGUUGUUCGGAAUUACUGGGCGUAAAGCGCACGUAGGCGGACCAGAAAGUUGGGGGUGAAAUCCCGGGGGCUCAACCCCGGGAACUGCCUCCAAAACUAUUGGUCUAGAGUUCGAGAGAGGUGAGUGGAAUUCCAAGUGUAGAGGUGAAAUUCGUAGAUAUUUGGAGGAACACCAGUGGCGAAGGCGGCUCACUGGCUCGAUACUGACGCUGAGGUGCGAAAGUGUGGGGAGCAAACAGGAUUAGAUACCCUGGUAGUCCACACCGUAAAACGAUGAAUGCCAGUCGUCGGGUAGCAUGCUAUUCGGUGACACACCUAACGGAUUAAGCAUUCCGGCCUGGGGAGUACGGUCGCAAGAUU
rnacentral:rRNA from 1 species